rnacentral:lncRNA from 1 species
CCCCGAGUUAGGCGGUUUUCUUAUUCUAAUGUGCUUCCCAUCCAAAGCACCACAAGCGUGUGGGAGGUUCCAUAUUCUUUCAAAGUCAGAUGCUAUACGCAUCCAAUCUUCCGUCGUAAUCUCAUCCGGCAUGACUUCAUCUUUGUAUGCUAAGUAAAUUGCUUCGCAGACUUUAGGCACAAAGAGUGAUAUGGAGUUCCGGGCAACACGAAAGGCAUACAUAAGAUCAGCAUACGUGGAACCGGUAGCCAAAUGUCUGAGUGUAACGGCUAACU